AUUGUGAAUUGUGACCAAGAAAAAAAAAAAAAAAGGAAAGAAAAUGUGCUUUCAAAUACCCUGUUUUAAGUUUUUUCAAGGAGUAUCAUAUGAAUUGCACUUGAUAUUUUGAGCUGACAUUUUGACUCUGAAGUUUAUCUUGUGUCAUUUAGCAUGCAUUUUAUCUCAAAACUACUUUGAAGUUAGACUACAGAACAAAUUGGCAAACUGACACACACAAAUAAAACUCAUUCAUGCUUAUUUCUUUAUCUGAAUUUAGUCCUCAGUUUACUGAUCCAAACUCCCACCAAGUGCUCCCUCCUGCUCAGCUAUGUAGCACAGAAAUGUUUGGAAUAUUCAUAUAAAAAAAUGAAGCCCCUGGGCAAAAAUGGUCUUUGCAAUUGAGAUCUUUGUGACUUGAUCUUUUGAAAUUACUUUCAGAGGAUGAACUUCCACCUAUUCCUUCCAAGACAUUAAUGCUUUACUUGGGAAGAAUAUUUACCUUCAUUACAACAAUGAACAAUAAUAGGUCAAAUGACUCUGAAAAGCCUACAUUUUAAUAAGUCUUUAAGAAGAAAAAGAUCUACACUCACUUUGAAAGCUCUUCUCUCACUUCCAAAAUUAAGUGAAGGCAAAGCAUCUACAAUUACACUAUUAUAGAAAUGCCCUAGCAAGUGCAUUCCAUCAACACAGACAUCAGAGGCACCCAGUUAUUUUGCAAGAAAAAACAAAAGAAACAUCACUUGCAAAUCACAGCAUUAAGUGCUACUCUGGCUUUCCAAAGUUAUUAGGAAAGAGUAGGAAUAUUUGUUUUGUUUUGUUUUGUUUUGUUUUCCUCAUGAAUGCUAUCUUGGUUUCCUUAUUGCUGCUGAGGAAUACCUUACAAUAUCAGUAAUUCUCCUUCUUGAAAAAGGACAGCUAACUUAAAAUAUAGAUUCAGAAAUUGUAGGCAGGCAAGAAUGAUUGCCUUGUGUUUUUUUUUCCCUCUCCGAUUAACAGGAAAAGAAAGGUUCAUUCAACUUCAACUGACUGAGAUUCUUCAUCCAUCAUAUGAAAAAAAAAAAAAAAAAAGUAUUUUGAUAUAAGCAUGCAAAUUUAUAUUCAAAAAGCUGAAGCUGUGGAGGACAGUGCAGCAGAGAAUAUAUGUAGUUAGGUGUCCUGAUUUUAAGUGUUUUCAAUAUCAAUGACACCCAAGAAGUUGACAUUGACAACUGGAAAACCCCUGAAAACUCAGAGCACAACACUCUUACCCCAAGAAAGCAUAUUAAAUUUCUAACAUAACGUGAUUAUUUAAAAUGUUGCCUCCAAAACGCAAAGUUCUCUGAGGAUAAAAUGCCCACACAUUACAAUGGGACAUAGCGUUCUAAGGAACACAGAAAGAUGCAAACCAUGAAACCUCAAUGCAUUCAGAGGAAGUCUGUACGUGGAAGAGACCAGGAUACAAUGCAAGUAAAACAAAGUCGUUUAAGUUAGCCUGAUAAAGCUCUAAGAGGCACAAAAUCAGAAUCAAAUGCUGGGCUGGAGGCAAGACCACUGAGCUGCAUGGCCCCAGCUGAUGGCCACCUGCCCACACUUGAUGAGCAAGUUUUGGUUGAACAUCUGCUUAAACCUUUCAUCACCUGCUUCCUGUUCUCUCCUUGUGCUGCACGGAAAUUCUCAGAACCUAGUUGUCUGGAUCAUAGAAGAUUACGUUGUUGUCCUUCUUUGGAGACCAAGCAGUGGCUGGUGACUACAGAGUCUGGGACUUUCUUUAAAUAAAGUACAUAGGAAAAGAAAAAACAUGGCAAAAAGGAAGAGAACAGUUAUGCGUGUGUUGAAAGACUGAAGAAAAGGGUGCCUCGCUCUGUAAGGAAUGCCAUAACAUCUCCCUGCAUUUUUGCUGUCACAGUCACCCUGGAACUUGAGCUUAAUUUUAACUUUAAGUAAAACUGAGGAUGUCAUUCUAGGACAGAAGAGAUCUCUGAUCUGAAUAGUAUUUUGAUAUCUCCCGAGACAGAAUAUAAAAGUACUAUAUCAUUUUCAUAUUUAUGUCUUCCAUUCUGGAAAGCGGAAACCAGGUAAAAAAAAAAAGGUAAAAACAUUCAUGAUGAAUGCCAUUUCAAUCUGCUGGGUAACAAGACACGUUCAAAACCAAACCAAACCAAACCAAAACUUUUUUUUAAUUGUUAUUUAUUUAUUUAUUUUUAUUUUCCUUCAUCUACUUCUGCAGAUCUCUGGCUACAGUAAUUUUAAAAUGACGUUCAGGUUGCAUGAUGAAAAGCCAAAACAUGUUCUACAUAAAAUUGUACAAGUGCAUAACCGAGCAUUUUAUAUUUUUCUCCUCUCUCAGUAAAACCCAGCAUAGAUUUAUUUAUUUAUUUGUUUAAGUUUCUUCAGAGUCUGUGUUAUGAAAAGCUUGCUUUACUGCACUGAGGUUAUUUCAGCUGAGUGUAGGAUGUCCUACAGAAGGAUACUUCUGAAGUAUCUGGACAUUUGAGAACACUAACAAUUGCAUACAUUUUCCACUUUUUUUUGUUUUUUUUUUUUUCAAGUAUAUAUUCAUUCACAGAUGCUGCAUGCAGAUCAAAAACCCUUUACCUUGAAAUAUUGCAAGCAACGUGAAUAAAACUUCUUGCAGAAAACAAAUCAAAACAAAAUAGCAUGUUUGUCUUGGGACAAAUCUUUUCAUAGCUCUAAAGAAGUCUUUGAAAGAUGUUGAAAAAGAGAUUUUAAGGCUCUUAAAAAGGGUAGCACCAGCAAUCUCAUGAUGACUUAAAACUAUCAACAUUUUGACUUAAAAGAUGCUCAUUAAAGUAAGCAUUAUGCAUAGAGGUCAGAGACCACAGGAUGUUGUAAGUCAGAAUCCGUAUAUGAACCAGGGCAAAAACUGGAGACGUGGCACUAUCUAAGAUUCAGUGUGGUCAUAUACCUGGAAAUAUUAUUAAUUCACAUCUUCACAUGCCAAACAGCUGAUAUGGAACAUGAAACAGAAUUGUAAGUUUAAUCUUUUGCUCUACAAUUUGAAACCAACAUAUCAGCAUCAGUUUCUUAAAUUGCAGUGAAAAAUUUGUGUAUGGCAUAUGCUGAGGCGAUACUGUGGUGAGUUCACUAGAUAUCAUGGGAUGCAGAGUUGCAAUAGAAUAGGACAGUGGAUUUCAUUGGCCAUUUAAAAAUGGCUCCUUUCAUUGAAUGCUCCUCUUCCUGCUAUGUUUGAAUCAGCCAGCUAGUUUGGGGAACAAGAAUAAAUCAUUCUUGUUUGUACUUCUUUCUCUUUAAGACUCUUCGAUACUUGAUUAUACUAUAAAGCCCUAUACCUUUAAUCUCUAACUAAGAAUUAAGCACUUUUAUGAGCAUGUUUUAGCUUAGAAUUAAAUUAAAUUUCAUCUAGAAUCUACUCUCUACAUUCUCCGAAGUGCAUCAUUAUCUUUUCAAUGGGAACAAUUCCCUAUUCCAUAUAUGAAUAGCCUGCUUCCUAAUGGCAAACUCAUGUAUGUAGAAACUCAGUAUUAUGAAUUUUUUAAUAAAGUCCUUUCCUCUCUGC